AUGCAGGCACUCGGUGUAUAUUUAAACCGUGUGGCUCAGUUAGGCACUCGGUUUAUACUAACGGUGACACGUGGCCGUUAUCUCGCUUUAGAGUUUAUUUGUAUUCAGGAGACUAAGAAAACUGAUUUUUCAGAUCCUUGGUUAGCUAGUAUCGGUGGCAGUUUUACUUUCAUUUGGCUUCGGCAACCUUAUGUAGGAGCCUCGGGUGGGCUCCUCAUGGGUGUCAGGGAGGACCUGUUUGAGGUCGACACGUGCACUGCUAGUAGGUUUUUUACCAGAAUGAUCGUUAUGGAUAAGAGAUCGGGUUUCAAGUGGACUUUGAUCAAUGCGUACGGGGCUGCUCAUACCAAAGACAAGAAGGACUUCCUGAUCGAUUUUGUCCAUAUGUUAGGUCAUAAUAAAUUGCACCUUGUUAUUGGUGGUGAUUUUAAUAUAAUUAGGAGGAUCAAUGAGAGAAGUAGAGCUAAAAAACUCCUUUUUUGGUCUUUUUAA
rnacentral:rRNA from 1 species